rnacentral:rRNA from 1 species
UGCCUCAGUAACGGCGAGUGAAGCGGCAACAGCUCAAAUUUGAAAGCUGGCCCUUUCAGGGUCCGCGUUGUAAUUUGUAGAGGAUGCUUCGGGCGCGGCGCUGGUCUAAGUUCUUUGGAACAAGACGUCAUAGAGGGUGAGAAUCCCGUAUGUGACUAGCUGCCUGUGCCUGUGUGAAGCUCCUUCGACGAGUCGAGUUGUUUGGGAAUGCAGCUCAAAAUGGGUGGUGUACUUCAUCUAAAGCUAAAUAUUGGCCAGAGACCGAUAGCGCACAAGUAGAGUGAUCGAAAGAUGAAAAGCACUUUGGAAAGAGAGUUAAACAGUACGUGAAAUUGUUGAAAGGGAAGCGCUUGCAAUCAGACUUGCGCGGCGUCGAUCAGCCUGGGUUCUCCCUGGUGCACUCGGCGCUGCUCAGGCCAGCAUCAGUUUCAGCGGUUGGAUAAAGGCCUAGGGAACGUGGGUUACUUCGGUGACUGUUAUAGCCCUAGGUGCAAUGCAGCCUGUUGGGACUGAGGACCGCGCUUCGGCUAGGAUGCUGGCGUAAUGGUUGUAAGCGACCCGUCUUGAAACACGGACCAAGGAGUCUAACAUCUAUGCGAGUUUUUGGGUGUCAAACCCAUAAGCGUAAUGAAAGUGAACGGAGGUGAGAACCCUUAAGGGUGCAUCAUCGACCGAUCCUGAUGUCUUCGGAUGGAUUUGAGUAAGAGCAUAGCUGUUGGGACCCGAAAGAUGGUGAUCUAUACUUGAAUAGGGUGAAGCCAGAGGAAACUCUGGUGGAGGCUCGCAGCGGUUCUGACGUGCAAAUCGAUCGUCAAAUUUGGAUAUAGGGGCGAAAGACUAAUCGAA